UUUUCUUCCUAUGUAGGUUGUGUUCAAGUGACAAAGUUCAAGAUCAAAGAAACAGAUCACGGUUGGAUGUGUUUUUCAAAUAUGGAAUAUUAAAUUUGUGUUUUAGUGGCAAAGAUCAAGCACAACAUACAGAUCAUGGACAAAGGUGUUGCUAGAUCUGAAGCACAAACGGGCUACCAUGGAGACGUACCUCUACAUCUAGGCAGUGGUGCAAAUGGAAAACAGACAUUAAGAUCUACAAAGUUGUACGGCAGAUUCUGGAGUACAAAAAGUUACCAUGGAAACAUACAUCUAGGCAAUGGUAUAGAUGGAUGACCGACGUCUGGAUCUACAAAGUUAUACAGCAUAUUUUGGAGAAUACAUGGUAUGCAUGUUUACUUUUAAUUUCUUGUAACACUAUAAUACAUUUGUUUCUGUCUUUACACAUGCCUUCUGUGUCUUAUGCAUUCAACAGGGUUACCACGGAAACGUAUAUAUACAUCAAGGCAAUGAUAUAAACGGACUGCAGACGUUCAGAUACACAAAGUUUUACAGCAGAUGAAGCAUAUAAGGUGUGUAUGUUUACUUUUUCUUCCUUUUGGCAACAUUAUGUUAUGUUUGUUUCUGUUUUUACACAUGCCUGUCUAUAUCUUAUACACACAGCAGGUUUAGCACGGAAACGCAUGUCCACAUCAAUGCAAUGGUAUAAAUGGAUGACCGGCGUUCAGAUGUUCUAAGUUAUACAGCAAAUUUUGGAGCAUAAAGGGUGUGUAUAUUUACUUUUCCUUUGAUGCGUAGUUUGUAUUAAGGUAAUACUAAGAUUAUAUAUGUUUGUUUUUGUUCUUACACAUGCAUUUCUCUAUCUAUACACUCAACAGUGUUACCAUGGAAACGUACCUCAUCAUCUAGGCAAUGGUAUAAACUGAUGACCGACGUUCAAGUCCCUGGCAAGAGAGAAAUCCAGCUGUCGAUCAAGUGCUACAGGCUUAGCUUUAAAUAAUCUAAGCCUUGCUAAGACCUGAAAAUGAAUGUCAGGCAAAACUGAAACAAAAGUAAAAUAACUGAAUGCACUUAGAGAGCACCUAAUCUAUCUUGUAUAUUAUCGCUUCGUGAUACUGUAUGUUUAGUGUUUGCUGUUUUGUCAGGGCUUUGUUUACAGUGGCUACUUGGUUGUGUUUGUUUGUGGUGGUGUUUGUUGUGGUGUUUUUGUGUGUUAUGUAGGUGUCUGUGGUGGUUUCAAUGUGGUCUUCUCGGUUUUAUUCUUGAUGGUUGUAUUGUUUUGUUGAAAACGGGUAUUUGGUGCGUUUUGUUUGUUGUAUUGGGUUCUUCGUCAUGGUGUUUUCUUUCUGCCAUUACCAAUGUAUUAUUACUCGCUUUGUAUACUGUAGAAAAUUAUUAGAAUAAGUUAAAUAUUAUAUUGUGUUAUAAUAACUUUACUUGUCCAGCAAAUUUUAGAUACACGGAAACACAUAUCAAGAUAUAUGCAGACGAAUAGGCAUCAUGUGCAGACGACAGCUUGGACUGGUAAGAGUGCGCCAUUGUUUUAUUCCUUUCGUUUUGCAUUGCUUUUUUCCACUAGAAUAUUGGGGUACGUGAAGAAUGAAGACGCAGACGGAUAUUGAAGAUGCAUACCAGACAAAAUUUGGGUUACUGUUUAUUACGAACAGGUGCGUAUGUUGCUUGUUAUAUUAUUCUAUUUUGUAUGCAUCUCUUUGCAGAAUUUUCAAGUUGAAUACAAGCAGGUUUAAAGAUAUCGCAUUGUAGAUGACAAUAUGGUCUAGUGGAUGGUGAAGAUAGCGCGACUGAUGUUGACUGUACAUACACACGUUAAGAUGUCAUGCUGUAGAUGUGACAAUGGUUUAGUGGAUGACGCAGCUUUGUUCUUCUUCUCGGACGCACUGAGUAUUCAGUCAGCAGAGCAUAACUGUCAACAUUUAGAAAGCAAAGGUCAAUUUUCCAUCUGGAGCAAUUCAAUAGCAUAGAAAUGUGGACACAGAUCCUGGUUUUGGCGAAAUAAAUACUCGAAAUAUCCGACGAGAAUCAGUUUCUUGGA